UUCAACACAAAAACACUAUUAUGCUGAUGAUAAAAUCAUACUACAAAACUGAAUACUCCAUUUCACUUAAAAACAUAUUAUUGACAAUCAAACUCGUCACCAUUCACUGCUUCGAGUAAAAUGAAGUUACGAAACAUAUUUAAAAUAUUUCCAGAUAAGUAUUAAUUAAUAAAUAAAGAAGAACAAUAUGUACAAUUACAAACAUUAAAUUACAACUGAUCUAUUUUUUUUAAGGUUCCAAGCUGGCAGGCGGCAGCCGCUUCAUGUACGUGCAAUGACGCUGCGACAUUAUCGUUUUACCCAAUUACCGCCAGAGGGAAAAGCGAUAAUAAUUUGGCGAUGAAAAUUGAAAAUAAGCUAUUAUUUAUUUUGCUGUCACAAAAAAAUGGCGUGAGCUCAGUACAGUUUGGAGUAAAUAUUAUCAAAUAUUAUUAAAUAGUGUUCAACCAAUGAAAACAAAAAAUAGAAAUUUUAUCUGUGCGUGUCCAAUGACAGUUGAAGAUUGAUUUGUGAUAAAAAGUUUAUUACAAACAGUCAAAGAUGCAAAUAAUUGAACACGAGUGACAUGUACAAGUUUUACCUGGACAUUUGGACAUCAUCUUGACCUCCUGGUGUUUGCUGGUUACUGUUUGCUCCAAAUGAAAUUCUGGGAUAUCCAAGGAUACAUAUAAGGUGGCCUUAUGAAUAAAAUAUCAGUGCUAAUGCCUGGAGGCUGGGCGACGCUUUUUUCUCCCCUUGAAUGAUGCAAUAUUAUGCAAAAAAAAAAGGAUGAAAAAAAAAAUACAUACAUACAAACAGUCAAACAAAUUUGUAACGUAGGUAUAGUUUUCCUGAGUCGUCAACAAAGGGUAUAUAUGGUGUUCUGACGAUUAGCCGGAUUUACGUAAAUCAAAAUCACCCUAACCAAGCACGAAUGAAAAUAAGAGGGAUGUCUAAAUUCGAAUGUCGAUGCCUUGUUAGAUGUUAAGGCCAGCCAAAAUGAAAUGGUGCGGACAUAAAAAGAAAAGCAUAAUUACUACAUAGGGGUUACUACAGCACGACCCCCAUUGUGUAUAAUACAGUACAUCCAAAAAGUGUCUCUUGGGUUUUAUAUGCACAAAGUCAAAAAGAAAGACGAAGAGUGCAAAAAAUAAAUAAAUAAAAACAAUAUAAAUAUAAGUGAAUAAAAAUAAUAGUGAGAAAGAAAAGAAUAGUUAGUAGAAAAUGUAAAGAUACCAAGAUGGUAUACACUCGUAAUAAGAUAUAUCGUUUAAUUUAAUAACCUAUCAAAAAUAUCUACUACCGCCCCGGUGAUAUUCCCCGGUGAGCGCCAAGAUAAGGCAAAACCUGAUCGUAAAUAUCAAGACAAUAGUCUACCAGAGUUUGGGGAUUGAAACGAUUACAUUUUAACAUUAACCCACCCUCAUUUCACCCACUCAUAUUUCUUUUAUAUAUAUAACAUGCAGUAUGUACUUCAGCCACCCACUUACA